CGCAAUAAAGGGUGAUAGCCCCGUAACCGACACAUCAUAAUCAGUGAAAACGAGUAGGGCGGGACACGUGAUAUCCUGUCUGAAUAUGGGGGGACCAUCCUCCAAGGCUAAAUACUACUGACUGACCGAUAGUGAACCAGUACCGUGAGGGAAAGGCGAAAAGAACCCCUGUGAGGGGAGUGAAAUAGAACCUGAAACCGUGUACGUACAAGCAGUAGGAGCACCUUCGUGGUGUGACUGCGUACCUUUUGUAUAAUGGGUCAGCGACUUAAUUUUAGUAGCAAGGUUAACCGUUUAGGGGAGCCGUAGGGAAACCGAGUCUUAACUGGGCGUACAGUUGCUAGGAUUAGACCCGAAACCAGGUGAUCUAGCCAUGGGCAGGUUGAAGGUUGAGUAACAUCAACUGGAGGACCGAACCGACUAAUGUUGAAAAAUUAGCGGAUGACUUGUGGCUAGGGGUGAAAGGCCAAUCAAACCUGGAGAUAGCUGGUUCUCCCCGAAAGCUAUUUAGGUAGCGCCUCGGACGAAUACUACUGGGGGUAGAGCACUGUUAAGGCUAGGGGGUCAUCCCGACUUACCAACCCUUUGCAAACUCCGAAUACCAGUAAGUACUAUCCGGGAGACACACGGCGGGUGCUAACGUCCGUCGUGGAGAGGGAAACAACCCAGACCGCCAGCUAAGGUCCCAAAGUAUAGCUAAGUGGGAAACGAUGUGGGAAGGCUCAGACAGCCAGGAUGUUGGCUUAGAAGCAGCCAUCAUUUAAAGAAAGCGUAAUAGCUCACUGGUCGAGUCGGCCUGCGCGGAAGAUGUAACGGGGGCUAAGCUAUACACCGAAGCUGCGGCUACGUACCUUAGGGUAUGUGGGGUAGGGGAGCGUUCUGUAAGCCGUUGAAGGUGGUCUGUAAGGGCUGCUGGAGGUAUCAGAAGUGCGAAUGCUGACAUGAGUAACGAUAAAGGGAGUGAAAAACUCCCUCGCCGGAAGACCAAGGGUUCCUGUCCAACGUUAAUCGGGGCAGGGUAAGUCGACUCCUAAGGCGAGGCCGAAAGGCGUAGUCGAUGGGAAACGGGUUAAUAUUCCCGUACUUCUUACAAUUGCGAUGGGGGGACGGAGAAGGCUAG
rnacentral:rRNA from 1 species